UACCAGCACCCCGAGUGGUCGGGACGAUUAUUGGGCCUAAAGCAUUCGUAGCCGGUUCUACAAGUCUUCCGUUAAAUCCACCUGCUUAACAGAUGGGCUGCGGAGGAUACUAUGGAGCUAGGAGGCGGGAGAGGCAAGCGGUACUUAGUGGGUAGGGGUAAAAUCCGUUGAUCCAUUGAAGACCACCAGUGGCGAAGGCGGCUUGCCAGAACGCACUCGACGGUGAGGGAUGAAAGCUGGGGGAGCAAACCGG
rnacentral:rRNA from 1 species